AAGACUGACGAUCUCAGGUGCGAAAGCGUGGGGAGCAAACAGGAUUAGAUACCCUGGUAGUCCACGCCGUAAACGAUGUCGACUUGGAGGCUGUUCCCUUGAGGAGUGGCUUCCGGAGCUAACGCGUUAAGUCGACCGCCUGGGGAGUACGGCCGCAAGGUUAAAACUCAAAUGAAUUGACGGGGGCCCGCACAAGCGGUGGAGCAUGUGGUUUAAUUCGAUGCAACGCGAAGAACCUUACCUACUCUUGACAUCCAGAGAACUUGCCAGAGAUGGAUUGGUGCCUUCGGGAACUCUGAGACAGGUGCUGCAUGGCUGU
rnacentral:rRNA from 1 species